rnacentral:lncRNA from 1 species
UUGCGCGCCUGAGAAUAGGGAAGGGCAGCAGCAGAAGUAGGAGGAGGAGCAGUGUGAGGAGUCACAGUAGUAGCAGCAAGAGGAGCAACAACAGAAGCAGCAUGAAGAGCCGUAGGAGGAGAAUCAGGUGACUUAGCAGCACUUACGACUUUAACAGCAGUGAAUUGGGAAUGAACCUCCUUGUUCAUAGUGCGUCUCCGCUUAACGACUCGUCUUACUAUACUUGUCCCUUUGUAGUCCAUUAUUUUCCUCUUUUGCUGGGGACCGAAUUCUGACCGACCCUUCAACGUCCAUAAUGGAACGUAUUACUGCCUCUCGAAGAUAUUGACGUCAAUGUCGGCCCAAUAUGCGAUCAACAUUUUUUCCGCAGUUGGCUCCAACAUCCUCACUGCACACAACUGCACCAAAACAUACAUUGCCAUUAGUUAUAG